rnacentral:lncRNA from 1 species
CCGGGCCUAGAAGGCACUUCCUAGCAAGCCUCCUGCACCCUGCGCUUCUCAUCCCGCCUUAACGGCAGAAGGCAGAUCUGCUGAGAGGAUGAAAGCUGGGCCCUGAUGGAGCUGAUUUCUUGAGCAGCUUCUGGGGGAGAUCCAGGUCUGGAUGGAGCAAGCCCAUCUCUGGGGAGCUGAACCCCUCUGCACCUGCAAAGCCCUUUCUGUGCACCCCAAAUUCUGGAGGAUAUGAGGGCUGGGGGGGCUUUUGUUCAGCCUUUC